CUUCUCCCCCUCCUGCUCCUCGCGGCUCUGGGCGGUGCGGCCAAGCUGAAGCGCCAGCCGACGGCGUGGGACGAGCGAGCGGACGCCGGGCGGGUGACGCGGGGCUGCGCCAACCUGACGCUCGUCUUGGACAACUGGAGGUUCGCCAUCACCUCGCAGCUGCGGAACCUCCUGCUGUUCCACCACCACACCGUGCUGCCCGACUACGGCCGGAUCCGCUCCCUGUCGGGGGCGCUGGAUGAACUGUAUGAGGAUUUCAGCGCCCUCAAGGAGCAGCUGGGGCGGCUCUCGGGGCGCUUCGUUGAGGUGGAAGCGUUCGUGGAUCAGCUGAGCCGCAGCCCCGGGCCCCGCACCGCUCCCGGGUCCCGCACUGCCCCCGGGCCAGGCCCGCGCCGCCGGGGAUUGCCCCAGCCAGCCCUGAAGUAGCACCACAGCUCACCCUGAGCCCCACCGCAUCGC